AAUAAGUACAGCCGUAAAUAUUCGUGUCUAAUAUUUGACCGUCCGUCUUAUUUAAAAAAUUUAAAAAUAUUUAGUCACACAUAAAGUAUUAUUCAUGUUUUAUCAUCUAAUAGCAAUAAAAAUAUUAAUCUAAAAAAAAUUCAAAUAAGACGAACGGUCAAAUGUUGAACGUGAAUAGUGUAAAAUUACACUUAUU
rnacentral:pre_miRNA from 1 species